CUACGUGCCAGCAGCCGCGGUAAUACGUAGGUCCCGAGCGUUGUCCGGAUUUAUUGGGCGUAAGGCGAGCGCAGGCGGUUAGAUAAGUCUGAAGUUAAAGGCUGUGGCUUAACCAUAGUACGCUUUGGAAACUGUUUAACUUGAGUGCAAGAGGGGAGAGUGGAAUUCCAUGUGUAGCGGUGAAAUGCGUAGAUAUAUGGAGGAACACCGGUGGCGAAAGCGGCUCUCUGGCUUGUAACUGACGCUGAGGCUCGAAAGCGUGGGGAGCAAACAGGAUUAGAUACCCUGGUAGUCCACGCCGUAAACGAUGAGUGCUAGGUGUUAGACCCUUUCCGGGGUUUAGUGCCGUAGCUAACGCAUUAAGCACUCCGCCUGGGGAGUACGACCGCAAGGUUGAAACUCAAAGGAAUUGACGGGGGCCCGCACAAGCGGUGGAGCAUGUGGUUUAAUUCGAUGGUACGCGAGGAACCUUACCUGGGUUUGACAUACACAGGGAUUAUGUAGAGAUAUGUA
rnacentral:rRNA from 1 species